UGGUAGUCGAGCGCAGAGACGAACAGAAGGUGGAACAUGGCUCUCUCCAGAGGUUUGAGAUGCUGUCAAAGGGUUUUCUCCUGGAUACCUGUGCUUAUAAUAACCUCCGUCGUGUUGUGGUCAUACUACGCCUACGUAUUUGAGCUAUGUCUUUUUACACUCACCAACCCCUUUGAAAAAGUGGCCUAUCUACUGGUAUUUCAUGUUUGCUUUGUGAUGUUCUCCUGGACCUACUGGAAGUCCAUAUUUACCCCUCCUGCAUCACCAUGCAAAAAGUUUCAGCUGUCGUACUCAGACAAGCAAAGAUAUGAGAUGGAAGAGAGGCCUGAUGCUCAGAAGCAAAUCCUGGUUGACAUCGCAAAGAAGCUGCCCAUCUUUACUCGAGCUCAAUCUGGAGCUAUCAGGUUCUGCGACCGCUGCCAGGUACUGAAGCCUGACCGCUGUCACCACUGCUCAGUUUGUGAAACUAAGAAUAUCCUAAUGAUCAAUCAGAGCAGAAGUUUACCAAAAGGAAUCAGCAGACCGCUGUCAGAAUAUGUAGAGAAGAUGUGUCUUGAAGAUGGACCAUCACUGUCCCUGGGUAAACAACUGUGUGGGAUUUUCGAACUACAAGUUUUUCCUGCUUUUCUUGUCCUACUCCAUGCUGUACUGUGCGUUUAUUGCUGCAACAGUCUUUCAGUAUUUCCUCAAAUUCUGGGUGGGGGACUUGCCAAAUGGGCCCGCAAAGUUCCAUGUCCUCUUCCUCAUGUUUGUGGCGAUCAUGUUCUUCGUCAGUCUCAUGUUCCUCUUUGGCUACCACUGUUGGUUGGUGGCCAAGAACCGAUCCACUUUAGAAGCCUUCUCAGCUCCAGUUUUUGUCAGUGGACCAGACAGAAAUGGUUUCAAUGUCGGCAUACGCAAAAACCUACAGCAGGUAUUUGGCGAGGAUCGAAGACUGUGGUUCAUCCCUGUUGUCACAAGCCAAGGGAAUGGCCACUACUUCCCCUUGAAGAAUCGGAGUUCUGAAUCCCAGAACCCCUUAUUAGCUAAUGAGGACAUGUGGGAGGAGUCCGAUGAUGGCUCUGAAGAAGGAAGCCCGGCUGAAGAACAAGACCCCUCUGUUACCAUAGAGAUGGAGGAAUAGUAAUUGAAUGUAAAGACAAUUUACCCAGGUACAGAGGAUGUAGAUUACCAUCGCUAUUUACCACGAGGCAAAUGCAUUCCAAAUCAUGUGGAUGUUCAGACACUAGGAAAGAAAUUCUGAAGGGGGGCCAAACGUGUGGAUUUGGAUUGUCAUUGCUACUUUCACCCUGGUGUUUAACACAUUGAUGUAUAGAGAAAUUCAAUGGACACCCAGUAGCAUCAUCUCUCAUGGACAACAGUAUCAGUUUGAUUCAGGGGAAAAAAACAUAAAAAGUAUACUGCUGUUUAUCAUGGGUUGUGUAUCUCUUCCUCUGGUUGUUCAUCUCAAGGCACUGACCUCUGUGGGAUUAUAAAUUACUGUUAGUCGAAAAGCCUCUGUCUGGCACUGUACUAUUUUGUAUGCCUCUGUUUCAGUGUUUGGCCGUGAGUUUACAGUGUUGCACCUUAGUGCUUGGUCUGUGCAGGAUGGUAUCUGAAUUGACCUCAUACUCAUUUUGCUCUGGAAGUCUCUUGUAAUGAUUGAGUUGUCUGGCCUCUAACAGUUUGGGUCUUGGAGCAUAUCAACAGACUUUACUUUUUUUCCCCUGUAAACAUUAACCACAGUAGAAUACCUGAAUUAACCAGCGCCUUAUUAAUACAUUUAUUCUUGUGUUUUGGGAGUCCAUUUCUCCUAAGAAUGUAUCCAGUGACCUGCUUGUGAGUGGGCCGUGCCAACAUUUUUGGCAUAUAUAUAUAUAUAUAUAUAUAUAUAUACGAAAGAACCUCCAAUUAUGCUUUAAUAAAAAAUUUCAGCAUUGAUAGUGUUAAAAUACCAUUACCAAUGUCUGAUCAGACUGGUGACAAUAAUAAAAAACAAAACUAGCAAAGUAUUAUGGCCGACGUAACGUUCAUCAUUUUUCUGUGAAGUGAUAUCCUGAAUACACUGUAUAUCAUGACCUAGAAGGUGUUGGCUACAUUGUUGACCUAAAAAUCAGUUGGAUUAUUUAUGUCUGUGGUGAGCAUAGGAGAUAUACUGUGGUUGAAAUUUAAAAAAAUAUAUAUAUUACAAUCUUGUUUUCUACCAUAUCGGCCAUUUCUAGUACAAUAACACUUCAGUGUGGAUGCAAAGUGAUAGGAAAGUGAAGUGACAUUUGCUUUAGUCAUAGGCACAAAAUCAUACAUAGAAGUUUUUUGGGUCUAUUUUCACUUUUGAUCUUUUUAAACAUGCAGAUAACUGUACAUAAAUAUAGUAGGACUGAUCCUCAUCCACUGGUUGGUAGAGGUCAGCGGCCUUCUGCAAUAUGAUGUUCUAAAUUUUUUCUACCUGUGUUUAUGUAUUUUGAAAUUUUUAAUACCAGUAAAACAGAUUCUCCUCACCAAGACUGUUUUGGUUUAUGGACUUGUGUAUUUAGCCAGCGUACGUUAGUUGAAACCAUUUCUGUAAUUGAGUAAACCCAUUUAUUCAGCGUGAGAAAAAAGUUGGGCCUUUAUCAAACCCUGAUGCUCUGUGAUGUUGACACUUUAACUUUAUCAGAUCUGUUUUUGUCCUGAGUUGGGUAAGCCAAAUCAAAUGCUUAGAAAUACAUAACAUAACAUUCAAAACUCAUUAUUGAUUAAAACAGUUUAUCUGGGGUAUGAUUCAAGGUUUGAAAGCAUGUAUAAAAUGUUAGGAAAGAUGUGAAUGUUGUGUUUCAUGUAGUCUUGUGUCUAUUUAUUGUUAUAAUAAUAUAUAUAUUUUAUCUGUGUAUUGAGUUUACUGAUUCAUUACUGCUGGAGGCAGUGUCUGUAUAUUUUGCUCCAUUAAGUGACACUUUAAAGAUACAAAGCAAUUUCCUUUUAUCAGAAAGUAGGAUAUUUAUAACAUGAGACGAUGACAAAUUAUACCCAGUUUGCAGACAGGAGUUCAAUAUUGCUAGAGCACAUCCAGUGUGAUCCCUUUUGAAUUGUCGGAGUAUGUGACUGUGGCCCUUUUUCAACACCUCUGAAACACCAAAAGUACUGAUACCGUUUCAUUUGCUUUUCUGUCCGUUAACAAAUAUAAAUUCUUUAUUUUCCAUCAGUUGUUGUAACAUGCAAAAUAAAACAAUUCAAGUUGAACUCUU